UUUCCGUAGGUGAACCUGCGGAAGGAUCAUUACAGAGUUCAUGCCCUCGCGGGUAGAUCUCCCACCCUUGUAUAUUUAUACCUUAGUUGCUUUGGCAGGCCGUGGAAACACCAUGGGCUCCGGCUUAUGCGUGCCUGCCAGAGGAAACAAACUCUGUUUUUAGUGAUGUCUGAGUACUAUAUAAUAGUUAAAACUUUCAACAACGGAUCUCUUGGUUCUG
rnacentral:misc_RNA from 1 species